rnacentral:rRNA from 1 species
UACGGAGGGUGCAAGCGUUGCUCGGAAUCACUGGGCGUAAAGCGCACGUAGGCGGCUUUCUAAGUCAGGGGUGAAAUCCUGGAGCUCAACUCCAGAACUGCCUUUGAUACUGGAGAGCUAGAGUCCGGAAGAGGUGAGUGGAACUGCGAGUGUAGAGGUGAAAUUCGUAGAUAUUCGCAAGAACACCAGUGGCGAAGGCGGCUCACUGGUCCGGUACUGACGCUGAGGUGCGAAAGCGUGGGGAGCAAACAGG